rnacentral:rRNA from 1 species
CCUACGGGGUGCAGCAGUGAGGAAUAUUGGUCAAUGGUCGGGAGACUGAACCAGCCAAGCCGCGUGAGGGAUGAAGGUACAGAGUAUCGUAAACCUCUUUUGUCAGGGAACAAAGGCGGGGACGUGUCCCCGGAUGAGUGUACCUGAAGAAAAAGCAUCGGCUAACUCCGUGCCCGCAGCCGCGGUAAUCCGGAGGAUGCGAGCGUUAUCCGGUUUUAUUGGGGUUAAAGGGUGCGCAGGCGGUCUGUUAAGUCAGCGGUAAAAGCCCGGGGCUCAACCCCGGCCCGCCGUUGAAACUGGCAGUCUCGAGUUGGAGAGAAGUAUGCGGAAUGCGCGGUGUAGCGGUGAAAUGCAUAGAUAUCGCGCAGAACUCCGAUUGCGAAGGCAGCAUGCCGGCUCCACACUGACGCUGAGGCACGAAAGCGUGGGUAUCGAACAGGAUUAGAUACCCGAGUAGUC